rnacentral:tRNA from 1 species
GCCUGGGUGGCGAAAUGGUAAACGCAUCAGACUCAAAAUCUGACGGAGUCAUCCUUAAGGGUUCAAGUCCCUUCCUAGGCACCA